rnacentral:rRNA from 1 species
AUACGGAGGGGGCUAGCGUUGUUCGGAAUUACUGGGCGUAAAGCGCACGUAGGCGGAUUAAAAAGUUAGAGGUGAAAUCCCAGGGCUUAACCCUGGAACUGCCUUUAAAACUAGUAGUCUAGAGUUCGAGGGAGGUGAGUGGAAUUCCAAGUGUAGAGGUGAAAUUCGUAGAUAUUUGGAGGAACACCAGUGGCGAAGGCGGCUCACUGGCUCGAUACUGACGCUGAGGUGCGAAAGCGUGGGGAGCAAACAGGAUUAGAAACCCGAGUAGUCC